UGCCUGACAGUUUCUAAUUAAGGAAUAGUUAAAAUCUAAAAAAGAUAUGCAUAGAAAAUAGACAAAAGAAUUUUAUAGGCCAAGAAUUAACAGCUGUAAAAUCAUGAAAAGAGGAAGCAAAUUCCAACAAUGUCGGCAGAAAUCUUGUAAUACGAACAAUUUGUUUGUGCAUUUUUCCUGUUUCAAGAAAUCACCAGAGAACAAUUGAAACGACGGGUGCAUUACUCUAAUGUCAGAGAAUUCACAUAAGCGUAACAAGAUUAUUGUAAAAUCUUUACAUGAGUUAUCAAGGGACAUGCCAUGUUCCUUUAUCUGACACAGAAAUGUAGGACUUUUCACAGUCGAUGAUACCUUCUUUAUUCUUUGGAGGUGUGUUGGUGUCUUCUCGAUUUUCCACUUCCACAUAUGAAGUGAAACUCCAAGAUCAN
rnacentral:lncRNA from 1 species